rnacentral:tRNA from 1 species
UAUAAGAAAGUGUAACUUGCACGUGGGAAUUUGGAUUCUAAAGUAAACGUAGUUUUCUUAUAC